AUCUUUUUACCUUUGUAUUUUGUGCAUCAUUUCAUUUAUUUCUUGGCCAAUUUUCUUCCGAUUCGGAGCUCGGUGUACGAAAUAUUUCGUAUUCACGCACGAUUCAAGAAGGGUUGCACCUCAAGUAGUGUGAUAUAUGCAACCUAUUACCUAUUCUAGUGGAGUAUUAGUGACCGAUUUCAUGACUCAAACAUGUGACGUAUAAAUCAUACGGAGACAAUUUUGAAGUGGAUUUUCAAAAUCCUUAGUCAUAAAUUUAUGCAAUUUGAGAAAGAGUUUAACUUUUGGGCACAAAUAGUGUCUUGUUUUUUCACACCAUCAGGUUAAGAUGACCUACAAUAAUACGUAAGUAUUUAUUGUAAUGUAGUGAUUUAGAACACUCAAUAAGUAAUUAAUACGCAAUAAUCAAUUAAAAAUAUACUGACUCUUUCCAGAGUGUGGUAACAACUUGUAAACAUAUGGGGGGUGAUAGUUAUUAAUUUACUGUAGUUCUCUUUCUAUAUCCAUAGUCCAAAUAUAGUUGUUUUAAUAAAUAAACCAAAAAAGGGUCUGAAAUUAUUUUCUGUUAUCUCUAUUUUGUUCUAACUGUUGAUUUAGUUUAGGUUACUUUGUGGAAUUUUCUUUUCUUGGAAAAAAAAAAGCCUCAGCUACUUUUAACUGAAAAGAAGUUUCUCAUUCUGUUUGAGAGUUUAAUAUAGUUUUACACUGUGUGAAAUAUAAAAAUCAUCUACUCAUUUUAUGGCACAUGUAAAUGUUUGACAAAUAAAUACAUGCAAACCUGUCAAUCAGAUCUGAGACAACUGAUUGAGGGCUAGACCAUAUAUUAAACAAAAAAAAAUUAGGGGCACCCCAUUAAAUAGUGUAAAAUCACAAGUUAAUAUUUAAUAAUAGUAAACUGUAUCUCUAAUCAUGUGCUAAUUGUCAAUUACUAUUCUCUUCUUAGUCAUCCCAUGUGAAUAACAGAAGCAAAAUUAAAGAUGGCUACUUCUAGAAAUAAUUAUAUUUAUUAUCAAACAGAUGUGGAAGUAACGUUCUACUGAUUUAACUUUUAAACGUUCAUAGUAUAAAAAAAUUAUAUACAUUAUCAGAUCAUUAAAAGAUAAAUACAAGCAAUAAUUUAUAAUAAAUGAGAUCAGUACCUUAAAAAAUAAGGUCGAUAAUUUGCUACAACAUGGUAAAAUAUAUCUAUAAUAUAAAAAUUCUUGACAUUAUAUGAGUUAAAGAGAUAUUUAUAGAAUAGACGGUCACGGUUUAUUUUUUCUAACUGUUAUAAAUAAAUGAUACCAUGAUUAUAUAUGAUUCUACAUAUAUUGUAUCUAAUUAUACAUAUUAUAUAUCUGCCAGGUAUUUUUAGUUUAAGUUGUCGGAUGGAUGGCUAUUUAGGUUAAGUCUUUACACAAAUAGUCGGACAAAAUCAUUCUUUACAUUUUCCAAUCAAUACAUAUAAAUUAUGUACUGAUUAUACAUAGUUAUACAUGUAUGAUAUGUGAAUUAUACUUAUAUUAUGUAUCCACCGUCUAUCUUUAGUUUAAAGAGUUGAGUGAUUGGCUAUUUAAUUUAAUUCUUCUUAGUUAAAUCCAUAUUUUGAUGAAAUUCUUGUUUACAAUUUCAACAGGAAUUUGACAAAAUAUAUGGGCCGGCCUGGCAUUGCAUAGUGGGCUCAAGUUUUGGGUCAUAUGUUACUCACGCCACAGGUGGCUUCCUCUAUUUCUCUAUGGAAAAGCUUUAUAUAUUAGUCUUUAAGACAAAGGUGCAAAAGACCAUUGAAUCAUAAUUUAUUCAUUUUUUUAGGUAGUAAUACUUUUAUGGAAAAGCUUUAUAUUUUAGUCUUCAAGACAAAAGUGCAAAAGACCAUUGAAUCAUAAUUUAUAUAUUCUUUUUGUAGUAAUACUUUUACUUUUGUGAUUUAUAUCACGUUUCUAGAAAGUUCCUUAUUUUUUUCUUAGAUUUGUAAAUGGAAAUUCAUUGAGAUGAAUUGUGUAUAUGUCUUAAAUUCAUAUGAGUAUGUGCAAAUUGUCUUAUAUUAUUACCUCUCUUUUUUUAUAUUUAUUUAUAGGCUAUAUGAUUGUAAAUAUUUAAGAUACCUUUCACGUUAAAUCUCUAUUUUUCCCUCGGGAUUUUUAGAAGAAAAAUUUUCAAUAAAUAUUAUCUUU
rnacentral:lncRNA from 1 species